rnacentral:rRNA from 1 species
UACGGGGGGGGCAAGCGUUGUUCGGAAUUACUGGGCGUAAAGGGCUCGUAGGUGGCCAACUAAGUCAGACGUGAAAUCCCUCGGCUUAACCGGGGAACUGCGUCUGAUACUGGAUGGCUUGAGUUCGGGAGAGGGAUGCGGAAUUCCAGGUGUAGCGGUGAAAUGCGUAGAUAUCAGGAGGAAUACCGGUGGCGAAGGCGGCAUCCUGGACCGACAUUGACGCUGAUGAGCGAAAGCUAGGGGAGCAAACGGG